rnacentral:rRNA from 1 species
AUGGAGGGAUACUUCCUCGCCUCCUCCUUCCAGUCUCCCGUCGUCACUCGCGCCAGCGCCCGCUAUGCCCCCUGGGUUCUCCUCGACACGAAGGCCUACUUCGCCAUCCGCAAGAACGCCACGACCGCCGAAGCUGUGACCAGCACCGGCAACGCAUUCAAGGUCACCUUCUGCCUGGCCGACCCCCCGGCCAUCUCCCACUUCUGCGUCCACGGGCCCGAGUUCCAGCGCGACGACUUAACGACCGAGCCCCUGGUCGUCUUCUCUGCCAAGGACUUCGUGCUCCUCCGCUUUAUUUCCGGGAGAACCCGUCCGGGAUCUCGACUCGAGGAGUACUUCGUCUACAAGGCCGACCACGGCAAGCCGUCGCUCACACUGAUCCCGCGUACUCCUCCAGGCACCACAAACUCGUCAAGCUUGUGCGUCCUGCCAUUCGACGAUGAUGAUGGGGGAUUUGUCGUCGCAGAUCUCUGCAAGACACUAGUGUCCCCGUCAGACUACAAGCUCCACGUCUUCUCUUCCAGAACAGGCAAGUGGGCCACUAUGCCUUUGCGGUUGCAAACAUAUGCCGGGGUGAGGAAAGAGGACCUGCCGGGCCAUUUUUUCAACAAGGUGGUCGCGCUCGGAGGAGGUGCCGUCGGCUGGACCGACCUCUGGCGUGGCAUUCUCACCUGCAAUGUGUUUGACAAGAACCCCGUUCUAAGUUUCAUCCCGAUACCCAUGCUUUCUUACUGUGACGAGCAACGGAUAAGUGGUCCGUGGCUCAUCCGGGAUGUCACCUGCUUCAAUGGUUACAUCAAGUUUGUCGAGCUGGAACUUAUUACUCAAAAGAGCAGCGAGACAAGAGAGGAUAAUCUUGACAGUGUCGAUAUCAUCCACGAUUCUGAGCUGUUCUUCCACAAUGAGAAUGCCUGCACCAACAAAAAAAAGUGCCUAAUUGACGCCUGUGUUGGUUGGAAGCUCCGGACGUGUACUAGGCAUACCACCUGGAACUAUUGGCGCAAGGGGCACCCUAUUGAUAUAGAUGGCUUCUCGGCUCACAACCCUGAUCGUUUUAUGUUGCUCCCACAGCUCUGGAAUGCUGAGGCUGGAAGAUCGGCACCAAGGAAUCAGUGUUCAGCUUGCCCCACCACCCUAGACAUGGACAGCGAGGAUGUUGUUUACAUGAUGUCGAAACUGUCACAUGAUGAUAAGAACGCAUGGAUGGUUGGUGUUAACCUUGCAAAAAAGACGACGAACGUGCGUGUACCAGUUUCUGGUGCGAGAGUCCGCUAUUUCAAUCUGGAGCUCCUCAUCUGUGAUUUCUCUGAAUAUCUGAAUGCAACUCCAAGGUAA